rnacentral:rRNA from 1 species
AGUAGAGUGGCGAACGGGUGAGUAACGCGUGGGUGAUCUACCUUCAAGUGGGGGAUAACCCGCCGAAAGGCGGGCUAAGACCGCAUACGCUCUUUUUCUGGAAAGAGGGAGAGGAAAAGCUUUGGCUGCUUCGAGAGGAGCCCGCGUCGGAUUAGCUAGUUGGUAGGGUAACGGCUUACCAAGACGACGAUCCGUANCCGGUCUGAGAGGACGGACGGCCACACUGGGACUGAGACACGGCCCACACUCCUACGGGAGGCAGCAGUGGGGAAUUUUGGGCAAUGGGGGAAACCCUGACCCAGCAACGCCGCGUGGAGGAUGAAGUUUUUCGAAACGUAAACUCCUGUCCANAGGGACGAAGCAAGUGACGGUACCUCUGGAGGAAGCCCCGGCUAACUCCGCGCCAGCAGCCGCGGUAAUACNGGGGGGGCAAGCGUUGUUCGGAAUUUACUGGGCCGUA